rnacentral:rRNA from 1 species
UACGGAGGGUGCAAGCGUUGUUCGGAAUCACUGGGCGUAAAGGGCGUGUAGGCGGGUAAACAAGUCAGAUGUGAAAGACCUUGGCUUAACCAAGGAAGUGCAUUUGAAACUGUGUAUCUAGAGUGCGAGAGAGGAGAGUGGAAUUCCUAGUGUAGAGGUGAAAUUCGUAGAUAUUAGGAGGAACACCGGUGGCGAAAGCGACUCUCUGGAUCGCAACUGACGCUAAGACGCGAAAGCGUGGGGAGCAAACAGG